UCCUCGAUUACUCGCAGUUUAGACCAGUGAGGUUUUCAAACUCUAACAGUGAAAACCUCACAGGUUGUGGACCAACGAGACUCCACAGCUCAUACUUUUUCUUUAUGUCCAGCUAGAAACCGAGCAUGUAGUGAACCAGCUUUGAAGCCCAAACAAAUCCUAGCUCUUGGAACUUGAUGAAAACUCCCAACUUCGACUAUUUCAGCUCUUCAUAUUCGUCAUCAUGAAGAGGUUUCUUUAAAGCAGCAUGCAACG
rnacentral:lncRNA from 1 species